AAAACUCCCACUUGCUCUCUUUUUCCUAAUUCACAACCACCAUCCCCAAAUCCUUUUGUGAAUCAAACACCUACACUCCCACGUUCGGAUUCAUCACACCAACUCUAAUCCAAAUAUUUUCUCUCACCCAUAAUCUCCUCUACCCACUCUCUCAUGCACAAAGUUUAACCACUCAAAUCAUAGUUCUCUCUACCCCACGAUCCUAAUCCUAAUCCUCCAUCUUCACCAUCUUUACACCCACAAUCAGGGAUUCGUUAUACAUUGAGGCAGCAAAGUAUAGAGGAGCAAGGCAUAAGGGAAGCAAAGGCUUGCACUAAG
rnacentral:lncRNA from 1 species